GCCGCCAUCGUCUAGCGGUUAGGACACAUGGUUCUCAGCCAUGAAACCAGGGUUCGACUCCCUGUGGCGGUA
rnacentral:tRNA from 1 species